UUCCGCAUCUUCGGAAAAGUGAUGAAAAGGGAAUCAGGUGAAAGUCCUGAACAGACCCGCUGCUGUAAGCUCCGCCAAAGUCUUUGAACAAAACUCAAAACCACUGUUCGCUUAAGAAUGGGAAGGACGUUCAAAGAUGGAGUAAGUCAGAAGACCUGCCACAAUUGAU
rnacentral:ncRNA from 1 species